rnacentral:rRNA from 1 species
GAGGAAUCUUGCGCAAUGGGGGAAACCCUGACGCAGCAACGCCGCGUGAGUGAGGAAGGCCUUCGGGUCGUAAAGCUCUGUCUGGUGGGAAGAAAUGCAUAGCGGCGAAUACCCGUUAUGCUUGACGGUACCACCGAAGGAAGCACCGGCUAACUCCGUGCCAGCAGCCGCGGUAAUACGGGGGGUGCGAGCGUUGUUCGGAAUUAUUGGGCGUAAAGAGCGUGUAGGCGGCUGGGUAAGUCAGAUGUGAAAGCCCUGGGCUUAACCCAGGAAGUGCAUUUGAUACUGCCCGGCUUGAGUAGGGGAGAGGGAAGUGGAAUUCCUGGUGUAGAGGUGAAAUUCGUAGAUAUCAGGAGGAACACCGGUGGCGAAGGCGACUUCCUGGCCCUAUACUGACGCUGAGACGCGAGAGCGUGGGGAGCAAACA